UAGGGAAUCUUCGGCAAUGGACGAAAGUCUGACCGAGCAACGCCGCGUGAGUGAAGAAGGUUUUCGGAUCGUAAAACUCUGUUGUUAGAGAAGAACAAGGACGUUAGUAACUGAACGUCCCCUGACGGUAUCUAACCAGAAAGCCACGGCUAACUACGUGCCAGCAGCCGCGGUAAUACGUAGGUGGCAAGCGUUGUCCGGAUUUAUUGGUCGUACAGCGAGCGCAGGCGGUUUCUUAAGUCUGAUGUGAAAGCCCCCGGCUCAACCGGGGAGGGUCAUUGGAAACUGGGUGACUUGAGUGCAGAGGAGGAGAGUGGAAUUCCAUGUGUAGCGAUGAAAUGCGAAGGUAUAUGGAGGAACACCAGUGGCGAAGGCGGCUCUCUGGUCUGUAACUGACGCUGAGGCUCGAAAGCGUGGGGAGCAAACAGG
rnacentral:rRNA from 1 species